rnacentral:miRNA from 8 species
ACUGUUUUUUCUUGGUGCUUAGA